UACGAGGGGGGGCGAGCGUUGUUCGGAAUUAUUGGGCGUAAAGGGUGCGUAGGCGGUUCCGCAAGUCCUGUGUGAAAUCUUCGGGCUCAACUCGAAGUCUGCACGGGAAACUGCGGGGCUUGAGUGUGGGAGAGGUGAGUGGAAUUCCUGGUGUAGCGGUGAAAUGCGUAGAUAUCAGGAGGAACACCUGUGGCGAAAAGCGGCUCACUGGACCAUAACUGACGCUGAUGCACGAAAGCUAGGGGAGCAAACAGG
rnacentral:rRNA from 1 species